rnacentral:lncRNA from 1 species
GGGCUAUUAGGAAAGUCAGUGUGCUUUUUGAUGAGGUUCAGGAAAGCAUUGUUUGUCUCAAUCUACCCCCUCUCCCCAACAGUGAACAAGAAAGCAGGUAUCCUCGCUGACUAUUGGCAGCCCUUCUGGGACAACAAAGGCACCAGCCUCAGGAGUUGGGAAGACUGAGUCGCCAGGGACGUUGCUGAGCCAUUGGAGCCAUCCUUACCCGCAAGCCCACCCCACCUUGGGACUUCCUUUUGGAACAUGUCACCUUCCCAUGUUUUCCAAGUCAUAAAAGUGGUACAUGUCCAUCACAGACAAAUGGGAAGUGCAGAAAAGCACAAAGAAUAAAACAGAGACAGCAGGGUUCAGGCUUGGAGUUGUGGUGGAAUUGGCCCACAUCAACCCCACCCUCCCUUCACGCAGCAGAUGACUGGGACAUAGAGAAGCUGAUGGGGCCACUGCCACCAAAUUUCCACCUGCAGCCCUUCUCGGGGGCCACCACCAUGCUCCUCAACAGCUGUCACUGACAGGAGAGAGCUUGAGGAUCUUGAGGAGCUGCUGACCCUGCAGAACUGCUCUGAGACCAGGGUGAGAUUUCCAGGUGAAAUGAUUCAUGGCUAGGCUGAUUUAACUAAUGGGUUUUUCAUCAGAGUAACACAUAUUCAGAUAAGUCCCAUGCUCAGUGAUGGCAUCAAGCAAUGUCAGGAUUAGAUGGGAAAUUAGAGGCAAUUUGCUCCAAGUGUCUACUUGUGUACCCUCAACAGA